rnacentral:sRNA from 2 species
UGGUCAUGGUGCUGCCUGACAUCUGCUGAACGCAUUUGGCUUAUUUCUCCCUUUCACACUUUCAAAAAUAGAUCCUCGUCCCUCCCAAGAUGUUGUUUACACGAGGGGCUUCAUAACGGAUUCUAACGGAAGACACUGAAAAGCGCCAUGGCUACUUAUUCUGCCACAUGUGCCAACAAUAGCCCUGCACAGGGCAUCAACAUGGCCAACAGCAUUGCCAACCUGAGACUGAAGGCCAAGGAAUAUAGUUUACAGAGGAACCAGGUGCCAACAGUCAACUGAGGAAAAAAAAUAAUUAAACAGGCCUAAGAAGAAAUCAAAAACCAUAA